rnacentral:rRNA from 1 species
CACGUAGGGCGCAAGCGUUGUCCGGAAUUAUUGGGCGUAAAGAGCGUGUAGGCGGCUUGAUUAGUCUGCUGUGAAAGUCCAGGGCUCAACCCUGGAAUGCCGGUGGAUACUGUCAAGCUAGAGUCCGGAAGGGGCGAGUGGAAUUCCUGGUGUAGCGGUGAAAUGCGCAGAUAUCAGGAGGAACACCAAUGGCGAAGGCAGCUCGCUGGGACGUGACUGACGCUGAGACGCGAAAGCGUGGGGAGCAAACAGG